GAUUAGUGGCGACGGGUGAGUAACACGUGGGCAAUCUGCCCUUCACUCUGGGACAAGCCCUGGAAACGGGGUCUAAUACCGGAUAACACUCCUACAGGCAUCUGUGGGGGUUAAAAGCUCCGGCGGUGAAGGAUGAGCCCGCGGCCUAUCAGCUUGUUGGUGAGGUAGUGGCUCACCAAGGCGACGACGGGUAGCCGGCCUGAGAGGGCGACCGGCCACACUGGGACUGAGACACGGCCCAGACUCCUACGGGAGGCAGCAGUGGGGAAUAUUGCACAAUGGGCGAAAGCCUGAUGCAGCGACGCCGCGUGAGGGAUGACGGCCUUCGGGUUGUAAACCUCUUUCAGCAGGGAAGAAGCGAAAGUGACGGUACCUGCAGAAGAAGCGCCGGCUAACUACGUGCCAGCAGCCGCGGUAAUACGUAGGGCGCAAGCGUUGUCCGGAAUUAUUGGGCGUAAAGAGCUCGUAGGCGGUCUGUCGCGUCGGAUGUGAAAGCCCGGGGCUUAACCCCGGGUCUGCAUUCGAUACGGGCAGACUAGAGUGUGGUAGGGGAGAUCGGAAUUCCUGGUGUAGCGGUGAAAUGCGCAGAUAUCAGGAGGAACACCGGUGGCGAAGGCGGAUCUCUGGGCCAUUACUGACGCUGAGGAGCGAAAGCGUGGGGAGCGAACAGGAUUAGAUACCCUGGUAGUCCACGCCGUAAACGGUGGGAACUAGGUGUUGGCGACAUUCCACGUCGUCGGUGCCGCAGCUAACGCAUUAAGUUCCCCGCCUGGGGGAGUACGGCCGCAAGGCUAAAACUCAAAGGAAUUGGACGGGGGGCCCGCACA
rnacentral:rRNA from 1 species